AUCCCGUCGCCAGAUCGGCGCCACCGUGUACACCACCAACGAUAUACUAGUCCACACUUUUGGCGGCAGCAGCCCAGUCUAAGGUCCAAUCCCCGAACCGAACGGUCGCCCGAAAUACUUAGCGAACGAGUGUGGUUAGCAGUUCAAUAGAGUGGCAAAAUGGAUGCGCGAUUCAGAAGCAAUCUCGAUAUGAUCGGACGCAACGAGCCCAUCACAAGGAAGGCGAAAUUUUGGCAGAGUUACGUACGGGCUCUGAAAGGCACUGACGACAUCAGAGCUCCUGAGCACACUCACAGGCCUCGCGGCAUUUUCCGCUCGGAUUUUCCUGAGCUGCAUUCCACCUCGUGGCCGUUUGGAAAGUCAAUCUACGAAAAUCCGAUUCACGCAGCCGACCGUAUUAAUGUUCCCGGAUACAGGUAUCUACCCGUGCACCGUGAGAUCUACGGUUACUCGCCAAGGCAGCUGUAUCCCCAUCAGUACAAACCUGUAGAACGCUUCACCCCCGCGAAAUCCUUCGACGCUGAGAAGGCUUGGAAUGACCACCUGAACCGCUUGGCAGAUAUCGACAGACUUUACCCGAGCAAAUCACCACUUUUGGCUCGUCACUUAAGCCCACCUCUCAGUACGAAACGAUUGUUCGAUAUUCACGGUAAUCUCGUGGACGACGACUUCUUAUUGCCACGUCCGUCGGUCUUGCUACGCAGGAAGCCGUACUUCGAUCUCCUGGAACCAUCACCGAUGGCACCCAUCAGUGCGUUUACUAGGGACCCAUGGUGGUACCCAAGCUACGCGCCCUAUAUUCCGAGUUACGCUCAAUACCGCACACCGUUCUUUCUGAGGGACAGUUACCUCAGUCCAAUUAAACGUAGCUAUCUAUGGAGCCGACAUCCUUUCAGGCCCUUCGAAUGCAUCUUAAGAAUGUUCCCUAAUCCUUGUGGUAACUAUUAAUUACCGAGCCAUUACUCCGGCUGAGGAGUCGCUGACAGAAUCUCGAACACGCGCUCACGCUUACUGACGACUGCCUGGUGCCACAUGGAAAGCGUGAAACAAAAAAACGACGAAAAAAAAACAAAAUAGUACCUGAAAAAGGUCAACCAAAAAAAGAAAUAAAAAUUACAUCAUGUCCCGAAAGAAUUUUGACGUCUCCAUCAUAGUGCAUAUUUUCACAAAAUUUUAUUUAUUUAUUAACUUUUCCCACAUCAUAUGAUUUAUUGUACCUUUCAUCCAUAAUCUGAAAUAAAAUAAACACUGCCAAAA